AACACCUCGUGGGGAUUUGAGGAAAUUUGGGAAAAAUUAACAUCACGGGUACCCAGUCUCUCCUGGUUGACACAGUUGUUUUUUACUGUAUUUGUAAUAAUUGGCAUGGUUGUAAUUACAUGCAUAAUGGUCCAAUGCUCCUUUUGGUGUUGCAAACAAACCAUGAUGAACUAUGAUGAAUGGAAGAGAAUCAAAAUUAAACAUCAAAUAGAAACAGGGAGAUACUUCAGAAAACUUUAAAUAAAAAUGAAAUAACUCAGUUCCAAAAGAAUUUGCAAUAGGACAAGAAAAAGUGGAUUGAAGAAUGGGGUUGAUUGAAGAAUUGGGUUGUAAAUAAGUAACCUCAAGAACAUUAGGCUUUGUUAGCAAGUAUAGAGAAAGCAAAAUUACUAAGAUAAGCUUUGCCAGAACCACCUGGUGGUUACUGAUAUGAAAAUGAUCCUAAACCAAAGUGAUGAAGAAAUAACCACCGGGGGUCCAAAAGCCCACAACCACAUUUUUGUAUGCAUACAGGAGGCGUUCUCUAAGAAGUAUGAUGUAAUGUAUGUAAUCUAAUGAAUAUGUAUGUUUAAGGGCAAUAUAAUCACAGCCUGGUUGAUGCCUGGGAGAGACACGUUUGGAGGAGCUAUUCCCCAUGUCUCCUGGUGCCGCAAUAAAGAAUACCUGCUUGUCAACUUAAAACUUUGUUG